rnacentral:piRNA from 2 species
UCUUAUUCCUUUGGGAAGGACGAUGGGCUU